AUGACAUGGGCGCAGCUGAUCAGCCAUGCCCGCGUGUGUGAAGAAGGCUUAUGGUUGUAAAGCACUUUAAGCGAGGAGGAGGCUACUUUAGAUAAUACCUAGAGAUAGUGGACGUUACUCGCAGAAUAAGCACCGGCUAACUCUGUGCCAGCAGCCGCGGUAAUACAGAGGGUGCAAGCGUUAAUCGGAUUUACUGGGCGUAAAGCGCGCGUAGGCGGCUAAUUAAGUCAAAUGUGAAAUCCCCGAGCUUAACUUGGGAAUUGCAUUCGAUACUGGUUAGCUAGAGUGUGGGAGAGGAUGGUAGAAUUCCAGGUGUAGCGGUGAAAUGCGUAGAGAUCUGGAGGAAUACCGAUGGCGAAGGCAGCCAUCUGGCCUAACACUGACGCUGAGGUGCGAAAGCAUGGGGAGCAAACAGGAUUAGAUACCCUGGUAGUCCAUGCCGUAAACGAUGUCUACUAGCCGUUGGGGCCUUUGAGGCUUUAGUGGCGCAGCUAACGCGAUAAGUAGACCGCCUGGGGAGUACGGUCGCAAGACUAAAACUCAAAUGAAUUGACGGGGGCCCGCACAAGCGGUGGAGCAUGUGGUUUAAUUCGAUGCAACGCGAAGAACCUUACCUGGCCUUGACAUAGUAAGAACUUUCCAGAGAUGGAUUGGUGCCUUCGGGCACUUUCAUACAGGUGCUGC
rnacentral:rRNA from 1 species